UUGGGGAAACCAGUUGGUAGCUUAUUGUAUGUCUAGUGCAAUGUGUUUCAAGGUGUAGCAGGGGAAGUUGCUUUGACUUCAGGUGGUGGAUUGAAGAAGCUAUCUUUAUUAACUAAUAACUAUGAAGAGGUUGCAAUGAAUAAAAUUCUAAGUUUGUAGUAAAUUUCAGAAGCAGAACUGAUGCAUGCCCAAAAUCAGGUAUGUAGUAAAAUUUGGUUAAUUGUUCAAGGUUUGUGUAAGAGUAAUAAAAUCCAUGCCAUUGUAUAUGUAUCGUGUCAUGUAUCAACUAAGGUGGUAACUGACCGAACAUUAGGAUAUUUGAAGGGCUUUAGGUUUGUCACAUGCCCUAUGAUUGAAGAGAUGAAGCAGGGCAUAAAGGCAAUGGAUGGUCAGCUACAUCACUGAUAGAGCCGAC